rnacentral:rRNA from 1 species
AGUGGCGGACGGGUGAGUAACGCGUGAGAAUCUGCCUUGGGGUCGGGGACAACCACUGGAAACGGUGGCUAAUACCGGAUAAGCCGAUUGGUGAAAGAUUUAUUGCCCGAAGAGGAGCUCGCGUCUGAUUAGCUAGUUGGUGAGGUAAGAGCUCACCAAGGCAGCGAUCAGUAGCUGGUCUGAGAGGACGAUCAGCCACACUGGGACUGAGACACGGCCCAGACUCCUACGGGAGGCAGCAGUGGGGAAUUUUCCGCAAUGGGCGAAAGCCUGACGGAGCAAGACCGCGUGAGGGAGGAAGGCUCUUGGGUUGUAAACCUCUUUUCUCAGGGAAGAAGCUCUGACGGUACCUGAGGAAUCAGCCUCGGCUAACUCCGUGCCAGCAGCCGCGGUAAUACGGAGGAGGCAAGCGUUAUCCGGAAUUAUUGGGCGUAAAGCGUCCGCAGGUGGCGAUUCAAGUCUGCUGUCAAAGCACGGGGCUUAACUCCGUAAAGGCAGUGGAAACUGAAUAGCUAGAGUGCCGUAGGGGUAGAGGGAAUUCCCGGUGUAGCGGUGAAAUGCGUUGAGAUCGGGAAGAACAUCGGUGGCGAAAGCGCUCUACUGGACGGCAACUGACACUCAGGGACGAAAGCUAGGGGAGCGAAUGGGAUUAGAUACCCC